CAGCAGCCGCGGGAAUACGGAGGGUGCAAGCGUUAAUCGGAAUUACUGGGCGUAAAGCGCACGCAGGCGGUCUGUCAAGUCAGAUGUGAAAUCCCCGGGCUUAACCUGGGAACUGCAUUUGAAACUGGCAGGCUAGAGUCUUGUAGAGGGGGGUAGAAUUCCAGGUGUAGCGGUGAAAUGCGUAGAGAUCUGGAGGAAUACCGGUGGCGAAGGCGGCCCCCUGGACAAAGACUGACGCUCAGGUGCGAAAGCGUGGGGAGCAAACAGGAUUAGAUACCCCGGUAGUCCCUGUCUCUUAUAC
rnacentral:rRNA from 1 species